rnacentral:rRNA from 1 species
GAUGAACGCUGGCGGCGUGCCUAAUACAUGCAAGUCGAGCGAACAGAUGAGGAGCUUGCUCCUCUGACGUUAGCGGCGGACCGGUGAGUAACACGUGGAUAACCUACCUAUAAGACUGGGAUAACUUCGGGAAACCGGAGCUAAUACCGGAUAAUAUAUUGAACCGCAUGGUUCAAUAGUGAAAGACGGUUUUGCUGUCACUUAUAGAUGGAUCCGCGCCGCAUUAGCUAGUUGGUAAGGUAACGGCUUACCAAGGCAACGAUGCGUAGCCGACCUGAGAGGGUGGUCGGCCACACUGGAACUGAGACACGGUCGAGACUCCUACGGGAGGCAGCAGUAGGGAAUCUUCCGCAAUGGGGGAAAGCCUGACGGAGCAACGCCGCGUGAGUGAUGAAGGUCUUCGGAUCGUAAAACUCUGUUAUUAGGGAAGAACAAAUGUGUAAGUAACUAUGCACGUCUUGACGGUACCUAAUCAGAAAGCCACGGCUAACUACGUG